UUGCGGUGUGGAUAGCGGUGAAAUUCCAAACGAACUUGGAGAUAGCUGGUUCUCUCCGAAAUAGCUUUAGGGCUAGCCUCGGAAUUAGGAUCAUGGAGGUAGAGCACUAUUUGGACUAGGGGCCCGUCUUGGGUUACUGAAUUCAGAUAANNGAUUCAUAUCCGGGAGUCAGACGAUGAGUGAUAAGAUCCACCGUCGAAAGGGGAACAGCCCAGACCAUCAGUUAAGGUCCCUAAAUGUAUGCUAAGUGGAAAAGGAUGUGGAGUUGCAUAGACAACUAGGAUGUUGGCUCAGAAGCAGCC
rnacentral:rRNA from 1 species